rnacentral:sRNA from 1 species
ACUAAUUUUCAACAAAACUAUCAUAAUUACAUUGUUGCAGAGAACCAUAAUAUCUCAAUAGCGACAUGUUCAAAAAAGAUGGUCAACUUUAUAGAGAUAGCUACUAAAAAUGUAUGCAAAAACAAACGUCAAAGAUUAGUCUUUAAGACUUGGUAUUUUCAAGAACAUCUUUGUAUCUUCUUCCUCACAUCUUUGUUCAAACAUUUUCUAAGAUUCAGAAGUCUAAGAGAAAGAAUCAUGAUUUUUCUCAUUGUUCUACUCUCUCUCUCUCGAAAAUCCGUUUUUCUUCUUCAUCAGAAUCUUCUUUCACUUCAAAGUUAGAUUUCUUUCCAAACCACAAUGACUUUCAUCAGAAUUCUCUUGUGAUAACUAUUGAUCUAUAUGGUAAAGGUAACUUUACUAACGUUCAAAAGGCCAUCGAUGUUGUACCUGAUUUAAGCUCUUCCAAGACUCUCAUCAUCAUCAAUUCAGAAGUUUACAUGUUGUUACUCAACUUUAUAACACAUGUUCUUUAUGUUCUCUGUUCUAGACUUCUACUGAUGUAUGGUUUCACUGGAAAAACAGGGAAAAAGUUAAGGUUGGUGUAAACAAGACAAACAUAUUGAUGAAAGGCAGAGGAUAUCAAAGAACGAUCAUUGAGUGGAAUGAUACUGCGCAUUCAUCAGGAGGAACUGCAAAUAGCUUCUCUUUUGGUAUAUUUUCAGCAAAUUUCGUUGCCUAUAAUAUCAGCUUUAAGGUAAACAUAUUGUAGAUCUCUCAAGUUAUAACCUAAUUCGUUUAUAUCGUUGAGUUCUCAUAUGUUUUGUUAUAACCAAUCUUAAGAGCCUAAUUCGUUUCAUAUGUGUUGUUAUGGCCAGUCUUAAAGAGCCUAAUUCGUGUAUGUUGUUGAGUUCUCAUAUGUUUUGUUAUGAUCAGUCUUAAGAGCCUAAUUCGUUUCAUAUGUUUUGUUAUAACCAGUCUUAACAGCCUACUUCGUUUUGAACCAUUAUUUAGUUACGUUUUGUGCAAACGUUAAGCUGUUUUUGAGUGAUUAUCUAGAUAAACUAUCUAGACUUAAACCAAGUGAUAUACGUGUAUCUAUAUAAAUGUACAUGUUAAUAUCUCACACAUGUGUAU